rnacentral:rRNA from 1 species
AAAACUUUACAAUGCGGGAAACCGUGAUAAGGGGACACCGAGUGCCAGCAUCAUAUGCUGGCUGUCCAGAUGUGUAAAAUACAUCUGUUAGCAAGGGCCGGGCAAGACCGGUGCCAGCCGCCGCGGUAACACCGGCGGCCCGAGUGGUGAUCGUGAUUAUUGGGUCUAAAGGGUCCGUAGCCGGUUUGGUCAGUCCUCCGGGAAAUCUGAUGGCUCAACCAUUAGGCUUUCGGGGGAUACUGCCAGGCUUGGAACCGGGAGAGGUAAGAGGUACUACAGGGGUAGGAGUGAAAUCUUGUAAUCCCUGUGAGACCACCUGUGGCGAAGGCGCCUCACCAGAACGGCUUCGACAGUGAGGGACGAAAGCUGGGGGAGCAAACCGGAUUAGAUACCCGGGUAGUCCCAGCCGUAAACUAUGCGCGUUAGGUGUAUCGGUGACCACGAGUUACCGAGGUGCCGAAGGGAAACCGUGAAACGUGCCGCCUGGGAAGUACGGUCGCAAGGCUGAAACUUAAAGGAAUUGGCGGGGGAGCACCACAACAGGUGGAGCCUGCGGUUUAAUUGGACUCAACGCCGGGAAGCUCACCGGAUAAGACAGCAGAAUGAUUGUCGGGCUGAAGACUCUGCAUGACUAGCUGAGAGGAGGUGCAUGGCCGUCGUCAGUUCGUACUGUGAAGCAUCCUGUUAAGUCAGGCAACGAGCGAGACCCGUGCCCACUGUUACCAACAUGUCCUCCGGGACGAUGGGUACUCUGUGGGGACCGCCGAUGUUAAAUCGGAGGAAGGUGCGGGCCACGGUAGGUCAGUAUGCCCCGAAUUUCCCGGGCUACACGCGGGCUACAAUGAAUGGGACAAUGGGUCCCUACCCUGAAAAGGGCUGGUAAUCUCCCAAACCCAUCCGUAGUUCGGAUCGAGGGCUGUAACUCGCCCUCGUGAAGCUGGAAUCCGUAGUAAUCGCGUUUCAAUAUAGCGCGGUGAAUACGUCCCUGCUCCUUGCACACACCGCCCGUCAAACCACCCGAGUGAGGUAUGGGUGAGGGCACGAACUCUGUGUCGUGUUCGAACCUGUGC